UGUGUGAGAAAAAGUAGAUAAUAGUUGUUAUAUAUUAAUUAGAAGAGGGGGAAUUGGUUAUAUGCUCCUGAAAUAUUUUCGACUUUCUGAUUUAUUCUUCUUAGAAGGUUAAUAUUGAAAAUAUUUUUUUUAUAUUCUAACCAAUUUCAAAUAUAUUCUUAGAGUUAAAAUCUGUUAAUGAACGCGAUAUUAUCUCUAUGAAAUUACUAUUUUGCCCUUUCAAAUAUACCCUUCUGCCACCACCGACUUUUUAUAUUUGCCCUUAAGUUAGGGACACAAAAAGUAUCUUACUUUUUGGCCUUUUCAAAUAUACCCUUCUACCAUCACCAAUAUUUCUUAUUUGCCCUUAAGUUAAGGGCAAAAGUAGCAUUUUAAUUUUUUUUAACUAUGGUAGAUAUUUAAUUCAUGUUUAACCUAAGUUAACUUAACGGGUGAUAACUGUUGGGAUAUUUUGAAAUAAUGGAGAAAUAUAUGAUGGGUAUAUUGGAAAGAAAAAAAAAGUAGGGAUAAAUGAUAUAUUUCCGAAGUUUGGAAGGGUAUAUAGGCAAUUAUCCCUAGAAGAAAAUAUCAUAAAUGCUCAUCUGAAGUUAAAAUUUAUUAAAUAUAAAAAUAUUUAAAUACUAUUUUUUAACAGUUUAAUUUUUUAAAGUACAACAAUUAUUUCAUAUGGUAUCAGAGUAGGAUCUGAGUUCGAGUCAUGCCAAGCUCCUAACAUUAUUAAUUUUCUCCCAUUUAAUUCAAGUCCACUUUAUGGGUCUUACAAAAAGUCUCGGACCCAACAGAGAGGGAGAGUGUUAAAUAUACAAAUAUUUAAACAUCAUUCUCUAACAGUUUAAACUUUUAGAGUAUAACUAUUAUUUCACAAUCGAUUUGAUCAAGAUUCUAAUUAACCUAAUUUAUCUUACAAAAAUAUCAUCAAUAUUUCUCUAAAGAUCAAAAAUACUUAUAAAUGCCCCUUAGGCAAAAAAUUCAUGAACAACAUCAUCCAAUAUUUUUUAAACACCACUUUUGCCACUAAUAUCAAUUUAACAAAGUAUAAAAAUUUAAAAUUAUUUA
rnacentral:lncRNA from 1 species